GAUGAACGCUGGCGGCGUGCCUAAUACAUGCAAGUCGAGCGAACGGACGAGAAGCUUGCUUCUCUGAUGUUAGCGGCGGACGGGUGAGUAACACGUGGAUAACCUACCUAUAAGACUGGGAUAACUUCGGGAAACCGGAGCUAAUACCGGAUAAUAUUUUGAACCGCAUGGUUCAAAAGUAAAAGACGGUCUUGCUGUCACUUAUAGAUGGAUCCGCGCUGCAUUAGCUAGUUGGUAAGGUAACGGCUUACCAAGGCAACGAUGCAUAGACGACCUGAGAGGGUGAUAGGCGACACUGGAACUGAGACACGGUCCAGACUCCUACGGGAGGCAGCAGUAGGGAAUCUUCCGCAAUGGGCGAAAGCCUGACGGAGCAACGCCGCGUGAGUGAUGAAGGUCUUCGGAUCGUAAAACUCUGUUAUUAGGGAAGAACAUAUGUGUAAGUAACUGUGCACAUCUUGACGGUACCUAAUCAGAAAGCCACGGCUAACUACGUG
rnacentral:rRNA from 1 species